GAUGAACGCUGGCGGCGUGCCUAAUACAUGCAAGUCGAACGAAACUUCUUUAUCACCGAGUGCUUGCACUCACCGAUAAAGAGUUGAGUGGCGAACGGGUGAGUAACACGUGGGCAACCUGCCCCAAAGAGGGGGAUAACACUUGGAAACAGGUUCUAAUACCGCAUAACCAUAGUUACCGCAUGGUAACUAUGUAAAAGGUUGCUAUACUACCGCUUUUGGAUGGGCUCGCGGCGCAUUAGCUAGUUUGUAGGGUAAAGGCUUACCAAGGCAAUGAUGCGUAGCCGAAUUGAGAGGUUGAUCGGCCACAUUGGGACUGAGACACGGCCCAAACUCCUACGGGAGGCAGCAGUAGGGAAUCUUCCACAAUGGGCGAAAGCCUGAUGGAGCAACGCCGCGUGGGUGAAGAAGGUCUUCGGAUCGUAAAACCCUGUUGUUAGAGAAGAAAGUGCGUGAGAGUAACUGUUCACGUUUCGACGGUAUCUAAUCAGAAAGCCACUGCUAACUACGUG
rnacentral:rRNA from 1 species